UACGGAGGGGACUAGCGUUGUUCGGAAUUACUGGGCGUAAAGCGCACGUAGGCGGAUUUGUAAGUCAGGGGUGAAAUCCCGGGGCUCAACCUCGGAACUGCCUUUGAUACUGCAAAUCUCGAGUCCGGAAGAGGUGAGUGGAAUUCCUAGUGUAGAGGUGAAAUUCGUAGAUAUUAGGAAGAACACCAGUGGCGAAGGCGGCUCACUGGUCCGGUACUGAUGCUGAGGUGCGAAAGCGUGGGGAGCAAACAGG
rnacentral:rRNA from 1 species